rnacentral:rRNA from 1 species
UACGUAGGGUGCGAGCGUUGUCCGGAAUUAUUGGGCGUAAAGAGCUCGUCGGCGGUUUGUCGCGUCGACUGUGAAAACCCGAGGCUUAACCUCGGGCCUGCAGUCGAUACGGGCAGACUAGAGUUCGGUAGGGGAGACUGGAAUUCCUGGUGUAGCGGUGAAAUGCGCAGAUAUCAGGAGGAACACCGGUGGCGAAGGCGGAUCUCUGGGCCGAUACUGACGCUGAGGAGCGAAAGCGUGGGGAGCGAACAGG